UUUUUCCUUAAUCAGGCUAAGCAAUUGAUUUUUUUUUUUUUUUUUGAAAGUUCAGCCUUAAGUCAGGAGUUGGAAUUUCAUCUGUCUGUAGACUUUGUGGGACUGGUAAGUAGUAGCUAGCAGGGUUGCUCUUGUUGCAACUGUGUCUUGUUUUAUACUGCUUCCCAUGGUCGACAACUGUAGAGUGCCCAUUCUUCUAGGGGCCGGGAGAAUGAGACCUUUCAUGAAAAGACUCGGUGGGGAUUGGCGAGUUCAUAGUAUUUCCAGACUGACUGAAGAAAACAAAAGAGCCAGGCGUUUGUUUGUAGGGGAGGAGCCUGAAGAGGCUGGAGAGAGUUGGGUAUUUAAACUUGUUUAUCGGUUGCAGCUCCUGUAUUGUGUGUCUUCCCAUGCGCCACAACUGUGCAAGGGCGGCUGGAGCGAGAGUGUUCGGACUUAAAGGGGUCAAAUGGCCCAGGAGUCCGAGCUUGGAAAGCCUCUUGCAGAGAACACUCCAAACCUAGGCUUCCUCCCUAGGAGGAGGGAAAGCUAGGGGCGGGCUGGGGCGCUCACCCCUGCUCAGCAUUUUCCAAGGUCUGUCAUUUAAAGACACAUCUUGGGUUACUAUUCUCACAGUUGGAGCGCUCCAUCCCAGAAUUCUGUUCCCCAAACCUUAGGAAUGAAAGUUCUCUUGGUAAAACCACCCGGAGUCCCUCCUAAGUAAACGCUGAGGCCAGAUGAAUUCCUCAUGUUGUCAAUACAUGAAGAGCUCAUUUUUAGAUUUAAUAAAGGAGUUGGGUUUUUUUUUCUAAUUCCUUGCUUGCAAAAAUAACGGUAGGUAAAUACCUGGCUAACUACCAUGUCCAUUUUACUCACUGAAGUUCAUUCCUUCUUGAGUUCAAUUAAAUUUGAUGCUGAGCCUCUCCAGUCUGGUGGUCCCAGCUUUAAGGGGGAGCCCAACCCACUGUAGGUGCAAAGUUUGAGGAUUUGAUUUUAUUUUAAAAUAUUUUAGCUGAAGUUGAUAAAGAGUAUGGUACCAUUAGAUAUAGUUGGGGGGAAAAAACCUAAUCUGAGAUCUUUAUCAAAAUUAACCUAGCAUGCUUCUAAAACAUAUGCUUCCCUUACUAGUAUUGUUUACAUUAAAAUGACUAUAUUAUUAAUUAAAUUAGCAAGUAUAUAUUGUUAUAGUUAAUAUAAAUGUUAGUAGCAGUGUUUGUUUUGUUUUUACCAGCUAAGAUAGUGUGAUCUUUGUUUUUGUUUUGUUUUGUAGCCCAGGCUGACUUUGAAAGGGUGAUUCUCCUGCCUCAGCCUCCUGAGUGCUAAGUUUACAGGCAUAUCCCGAUGAACAGUUAAAGUGUACUAUUGCCUUCCUAAAGAGAACAUUUUGUUUGGAUAGAGGUUUAAUUUAAUAUCAAUACCAGAACUGUUUUAUACAAGUUGUAUUUAGUAUUUUGAUUUUUGGAGGUCUAGUAUUAUUCAUUAAGGUAAUGUUUCUUAUUUUCUUUCUUUUUAAUAUUUUUUCACAGUAAAGUAAGUUGUUCCUAUCCUUUUUGUCCUUUUUCAAAGACUUGGGGGAUAUUUUUUUCCAUAAAUUUUGAAUACAUGAGGACUUCUAAAGAUAGGUAUUUGAUAUAAACAAGAAUAAAACAUAUUACUAUUUGAAAUUCCCCAUAGCUAGACUAACUCUAUGCUCUUGCCAUAGACAGUUUCGUCCUAGUUCAGCCACUAAAACCUAAUUCAUAGAGAGGACGGGAACAAAAUAACAGCAUCAGAGUCAAUCAAAACCUGCCAGAACAAGGAAGGAUUCCUGCCAUACUGUCACGUUUUGUCUUGGGGAUUUAAAUCCAGAGAGAUGUCACAGCUUUGGUCUUUAUUGAAAGAUACUUAGAAUUCCUUAGAGCAGUUUCUUUGCUCUUAUACUUCUACACUGCCACAAUUCAAAUCACAUCUUUGUUUUUUUACUGAAAUACAUGGCCAUGUAUUUAAAAAGCCAAACAGAAAAUAAACUAAAAAACAAACAAAAAAACAAAAUAUUAAGAAUUCCAGAGGUGCUUAUCUCAGGCAACCAGAGAAAUACAUUCAAAUUUUAUUUUUAACCAGAGCCAAUACUGUAACUUUCUAAUUGAAUUGAGUUUUGUUUUAAAUACUGACAGAACAUAAAAAAACAAGCUGACUUUCUGGUGACAGGUAUAUCCAAGCUAAAGGCUUAUCUCUGUUCCCUUGAUAAACAAGUCUUCCUGCUGAGGGCAGUUUUGCCCGGGGCUGGACUGUAAUCAGUGCUCGGCUACUGAGCACUUUAGAAAGCCCUUCACAUCGUCCCGCUGAGAAGCCCUCUGUAGAAGUUUGUGAAGGAGUCAGGCAAGCUGGAACUUGUGUUCAGAAUCUGAGCUGCAGGUUAAAACAGGCGACUAAGCACCGUUUUCAAAGGAUUUUUCCUCAACCGCCAGAAUUCAGGAUGUUUUGAAAGCUGAGGGACUAAGGCUACCAAUGCAGACCUGGGUAGAAUUGGUGACUGUCAGUACAUCCAAUGUAUAAUUACUAAAAUAAUGCAGGCAUCUUUUCAAGUGUCUAGCUUCCUACAUCUGUCUUUUUAAACUAUGAUAUUCAGUUAGCAUUAUAUUUGUAAAAUAUCCAACAUUAUUAAAUCAUGAAUAUAAUCAGAUAUAAGACCAAUAAAAGUAAUCUUGACUAUAUAUUUCUAUAAGUGCUAUGUUUAUCCGUAAAAUGUGGAGUCAUCAUAAUUCCUUUUUCUUCGAUAUGUGCACAUAAUUUUAUGUGAACUGUCUAAUAAAAGUAAAUAGAAUUAUAGCAAGCACCGUUAUGAAAGAAAUGCCAGAAGUGUUGGUCUACUUUUGUGAAAACGAUUUUUGAGAUUAAUAUAUAGAGAAAACAUUUUUAAGUAAAAAUCUGAGUCCUGUAAUUU
rnacentral:lncRNA from 1 species